UCCCAUACUUGUCUACAUUUUCCUUGGUUC
rnacentral:piRNA from 1 species